GACGAACGCUGGCGGCGUGCUUAACACAUGCAAGUCGAACGGAAAGGCCCUGCUUUUGUGGGGUGCUCGAGUGGCGAACGGGUGAGUAACACGUGAGUAACCUGCCCUUGACUUUGGGAUAACUUCAGGAAACUGGGGCUAAUACCGGAUAGGAGCUCCUGCUGCAUGGUGGGGGUUGGAAAGUUUCGGCGGUUGGGGAUGGACUCGCGGCUUAUCAGCUUGUUGGUGGGGUAGUGGCUUACCAAGGCUUUGACGGGUAGCCGGCCUGAGAGGGUGACCGGCCACAUGGGGACUGAGAUACGGCCCAGACUCCUACGGGAGGCAGCAGUGGGGAAUAUUGCACAAUGGGCGGAAGCCUGAUGCAGCAACGCCGCGUGCGGGAUGACGGCCUUCGGGUUGUAAACCGCUUUCGCCUGUGACGAAGCGUGAGUGACGGUAAUGGGUAAAGAAACACCGGCUAACUACGU
rnacentral:rRNA from 1 species